UGGGGAAUAUUGCACAAUGGGGGAAACCCUGAUGCAGCGACGCCGCGUGAACGAAGAAGGUAUUCGUAUCGUAAAGUUCUGCCCUAUGGGAAGAUAAUGACAGUACCAUAGAAGAAAGCUCCGGCUAAAUACGUGCCAGCAGCCGCGGUAAUACGUAUGGAGCGAGCGUUGUUCGGAAUUAUUGGGCGUAAAGGGUACGCAGGCGGUUUAAUAAGUCGAAUGUUAAAGAUCGGGGCUCAACCCCGCAAAGCAUUGGAAACUGAUAAACUUGAGUAGUGGAGAGGAAAGUGGAAUUCCUAGUGUAGUGGUGAAAUACGUAGAUAUUAGGAGGAAUACCAGUAGCGAAGGCGACUUUCUGGACACAAACUGACGCUGAGGUACGAAAGCGUGGGGAGCAAACAGG
rnacentral:rRNA from 1 species